rnacentral:rRNA from 1 species
UACGUAGGGGGCUAGCGUUGUCCGGAUUCAUUGGGCGUAAAGAGCUCGUAGGCGGCCACUCAAGUCGAAUGUGAAACCUCGAGGCUUAACCUCGAGCCUGCAUUCGAUACUGGGCGGCUAGAGUCUGGUAGGGGGAUCUGGAAUUCCUGGUGUAGCGGUGGAAUGCGCAGAUAUCUGGAGGAACACCGGUGGCGAAGGCGGCGUCCUGGACCAACACUGACACUGAGGAGCGAAAGCCAGGGGAGCAAACGGG